rnacentral:lncRNA from 1 species
UGGAUGUUAAGCUGCAUUCACCGGUAACACCUUCAGGGCCUGCAGGGUCCUCUUCAGAAAUGCGUUUGUUUGCUUGGAGCUGCAGAAUGUAUUGGUUUCUUUACUCAGUAAAUCAAGGGGCUUGCUGCCAAAGCCUGACAACCUGAGUUGGAGCCAUAGAACCAACAUGGCGGAAGGCAAGAACUGACCCCCACAACAUGCCCCAAGUGGGCUUCUGUCCCUCUGUGGACCUGAAAUUGCAUGCACAUGUGUGGGGGUGCCUUCAGAAGCCAGAGAAGGGUAUUGGAUCUCUUGGAGCUGGUGUUGUAGGUCGCCCAUCAUGGGUGCUGGAAAUCAAACUCGGGUCCUCUGGAAGAGCAGCAAGUGAUCCUUAUUUCUGAGUCAUCUCUCCUGUCCCUCCAAUGAAGACCUGCCUGACAGCAAUCCCUAAACACCCUGGAAAGAAAAUGGGCCACACCUCCUCGACUGCACUGGAUCCAACUUGCUCCAUUUCAACUGACACUCCGGCCAGAGGUUCGGGUACUGACUUCAAUCAAGUUGAGGAUUUCAAGCGAGAUCUUCAAUCAAGUGAAUUCCAUCUAACAUGGACUGGAUACAAUUCAUUCAAGACUCUUACUAUACUAACAUUUUCUUCCUACAGGACCCCACAUGACUAUCAUCGUCCCAUUUCAGCAGGAAGUAACUUGGAGAAUGCUAUGCCCCCUUUCCCCAUUGUUGUCACUUAGAAUAGUGUAUAUACCUAGUUAGGGAUAUCUUCCUAUUGUUUAUGGUUGGGAUUGGAAGGAGGUGUUCAGGCUUGGACACCUCUUUCAGAUGGCUUUAGGGUUUAGUUAAAAUAGAUAGUUAGGAUGUGACAUAAGCAGAUUGUUGUAUCUUCUUAUACUUUAAACUGUUAAGUUUUA